GCCAGGCAUGGUGGUGCGUGCCUGUAAUCCCAGCUACUCAGGAGGCUGAGGCAGGAGAAUUGCUUGAACCCAGGAGGCAGAGGUUGCAGUCAGCCAAGAUUGCUCCAUUGCAUUCCAGCCUGGGUGACAGAGCAAGACUCUGUCUCAA
rnacentral:SRP_RNA from 1 species